CCUUCGGGGUGUGAGUAGAGUGGCGAACGGGUGAGUAACGCGUGGGUAAUCUGCCCUGAAGUGGGGGAUAACCCGGGGAAACCCGGGCUAAUACCGCAUAAGCCCUGAGGGGGAAAAGUAUUUAUAUUGCUUCAGGAGGAGCCCGCGUCCAAUUAGCUGGUUGGUGAGGUAAGAGCUCACCAAGGCGACGAUUGGUAGCCGGUCUGAGAGGACGGACGGCCACACUGGGACUGAGACACGGCCCAG
rnacentral:rRNA from 1 species